rnacentral:rRNA from 1 species
AGCGAACGCUGGCGGCAGGCCUAACACAUGCAAGUCGAGCGGCCGUAGCAAUACGGCAGCGGCAGACGGGAGAGUAACACGUGGGAACGUACCCGUCGGUUCGGAAUAACUCAGGGAAACUUGAGCUAAUACCGGAUACGUCCGUAAGGAGAAAGAUUUAUCGCCGAGGGAUCGGCCCGCGUCCGAUUAGCUAGUUGGUGGGGUAAUGGCCCACCAAGGCGACGAUCGGUAGCUGGUCUGAGAGGAUGAUCAGCCUCACUGGGACUGAGACACGGCCCAGACUCCUACGGGAGGCAGCAGUGGGGAAUAUUGGACAAUGGGCGCAAGCCUGAUCCAGCCAUGCCGCGUGGGUGAUGAAGGCCCUAGGGUUGUAAAGCCCUUUCGGCGGGGAAGAUAAUGACGGUACCCGCAGAAGAAGCCCCGGCUAACUUCGUGCCAGCCGCCGCCGUAAUAC